rnacentral:rRNA from 1 species
UACAGAGACCUCGAGCAUUAUCCGGAAUUACUGGGCGUAAAGCGUGCGCAGGCGGUUAUGCAAGACAGAUGUGAAAUCCCCGGGCUCAACCUGGGAACUGCAUUUGUGACUGCAUGGCUGGAGUGCGGCAGAGGGGGAUGGAAUUCCGCGUGUAGCAGUGAAAUGCGUAGAUAUGCGGAGGAACACCGAUGGCGGAGGCAAUCCCCUGGGCCUGCACUGACGCUCAUGCACGAAAGCGUGGGGAGCAAACAGG